UGGGGAAUUUUGGACAAUGGGGGAAACCCUGAUCCAGCCAUCCCGCGUGUGCUAUGAAGGCCUUCGGGUUGUAAAGCACUUGUGGCAGGAAAGAAACGUCAUGGGUUAAUACCCCGUGAAACUGACGGUACCUGCAGAAUAAGCACCGGCUAACUACGUGCCAGCAGCCGCGGUAAGACGUAGGGUGCAAGCGUUAAUCGGAAUUACUGGGCGUAAAGCGUGCGCAGGCGGUUCGGAAAGAAAGAUGUGAAAUCCCAGAGCUCAACUUUGGAACUGCAUUUUUAACUACCGGGCUAGAGUGUGUCAGAGGGAGGUGGAAGUCCGCGUGUAGCAGUGAAAUGCGUAGAUAUGCGGAGGAACACCGAUGGCGAAGGCAGCCUCCUGGGAUAACACUGACGCUCAUGCACGAAAGCGUGGGGAGCAAACAGG
rnacentral:rRNA from 1 species